CAUCUGACUCUUGGUUUUUGCACAGGUCAUGAUCUCAGGGUUGUGGGACUGAGUCCCACGUGGAGCUCUGUUCAGCAGGGAGUUUGCUUGGGAUUCGCUCCUUCUGCCUCUCUCCCCACUUGCAUGUUUUCUCUCUCUCUGAAUAAAUAAAAUCUUAAAAAAAAAAAGGACAGACUCUGUUUAUGCAUGAACACGGAUGGAUCUCAGACUAGACACAAAAGAGUGCACACUCUGUGGUUCCAUAUAUGUGAAGUUCUAGAACAGGAAAAACCAAAUCAUGGUGAUAAGAAUCAAAAUAGUGGUUCCUGGUGAGGACUGAUUAGAAAGGGGCAUGAAGGAAUUUCCUGGGGUGCUGAAAAUUUUCACUUCUUGAUUUGUGGUUUACAUGGUGUGUGUGUCAGACUCCUUGAACUGUACACUUAAGAUCCAUAUCACUCUAUGUAAAUUAUACCUCAAUGAAAGAUCCUAAUACAAAGAAAAAAAAAAAAAAAAACCCAGUAGAGAUGGCACUCUCCCAGUACUUUCCUGCCAAGCAGAGGAAGCUUCUGUCCUGAAUUUAACAUAUCUAUGCACUUUAAUAUUUUUAUUACAUAUGCAUAUAUCCUUAAGGGGUGCUAUUAUUUUGCAUGUCUUUAAACUUUAUAUGUAUAUAUAUCACAACAUAUAUACACACACAUAUGAUUUUUGGCUCAACGUUGUAUAUGAGAUUUAUCCAUCUGAUAUCAGUAGCUCAUUGUGCAUUUUUAGAACUAAGUAUAUUCAUGUAAUGGAAUACUACAUAAUUAAGUUGUCCUUUCUGUUUUUGCCAUAUAUUUAGGUUAUUUCAAAGCUGUGCUGCUCGGCCCUUGUGUAUGUACUUGUUAGUGGGUGCUAGGGCACGUAGGGGUGGAGUAGAGGGGCUGUAGGGCAAGCAUACUGUCAGGUCAUCUACUGCCAUACUUCCCUCCAAAGAGGUUUAUGAGCAGUUUAUGAAUGGCCUAUAUUUUUACUGAACAUGUGGUACUGUUACACAUUAAAUUUAUUUGCCAAUCUGACACAAGUCAAAUGUCUCAUCAUGAUUUUAAUUUGUGGUUCUCUGAUGAUUGAACUUUUUUUUUUUUUUUUUUUUAAGUAGGCUCCAUACCCAGCACUGGAGCCCAGUGUGGGGCUUGAACUCAUGACCUCUGAGAUCAAGACCUGAGCUGAGAUCGAGAGUCGGGUGCUUAAUCAGCUAAGCCACCUAGGCACCCUGAACAUAUUUUUACGUAUUCGAGUGGAUCCCCCGGUCCAAUGUAUUUUUAUGUAUCCAUUGGCCAUUUGAGUUUUCACCUCUGUGAAUUAUCAGUUUGUAUCUUUUACUCAUUUUUCUUUUGUACUUUUUCUUACUGAG
rnacentral:lncRNA from 1 species